GACGAACGCUGGCGGCGUGCUUAACACAUGCAAGUCGAACGGAAAGGCCCUGCUUUUGUGGGGUGCUCGAGUGGCGAACGGGUGAGUAACACGUGAGUAACCUGCCCUUGACUUUGGGAUAACUUCAGGAAACUGGGGCUAAUACCGGAUAGGAGCUCCUGCUGCGUGGUGGGGGUUGGAAAGUUUCGGCGGUUGGGGAUGGACUCGCGGCUUAUCAGCUUGUUGGUGGGGUAGUGGCUUACCAAGGCUUUGACGGGUAGCCGGCCUGAGAGGGUGACCGGCCACAGUGGGACUGAGAUACGGCCCAGACUCCUACGGGAGGCAGCAGUGGGGAAUAUUGCACAAUGGGCGGAAGCCUGAUGCAGCAACGCCGCGUGCGGGAUGACGGCCUUCGGGUUGUAAACCGCUUUCGCCUGUGACGAAGCGUGAGUGACGGUAAUGGGUAAAGAAGCACCGGCUAACUACGU
rnacentral:rRNA from 1 species